CCCUUAGAUGUUCUGGGCUGCACGCGCGCUACACUGAUGCACUCAACGAGUUUACGACCUUGCCCGAUAGGGUUGGGUAAUCUUUUUAAAAUGCAUCGUGAUGGGGAUAGAUUAUUGCAAUUAUUAAUCUUCAACGAGGAAUUCCUAGUAAGCGUGAGUCAUCAGCUCGUGCUGAUUACGUCCCUGCCCUUUGUACACACCGCCCGUCGCUCCUACCGAUUGAGUGCUCAGGUGAAUAAUUCGGACUGCAGCAAUGUUUGGAUCCCGAACGUUGCAGCGGAAAGUUUAGUGAACCUUAUCACUUAGAGGAAGGAGAAGUCGUAACA
rnacentral:rRNA from 1 species